rnacentral:rRNA from 1 species
UACGGAGGGUGCAAGCGUUAUCCGGAUUCACUGGGGUUAAAGGGUGCGUAGGUGGGUUGAUAAGUCAGUGGUGAAAUCCCCGAGCUUAACUUGGGAACUGCCAUUGAUACUAUUGAUCUUGAAUACCGUGGAGGUCAGCGGAAUAUGUCAUGUAGCGGUGAAAUGCUUAGAUAUGACAUAGAACACCAAUUGCGAAGGCAGCUGGCUAGGCGAAUAUUGACACUGAUGCACGAAAGCGUGGGGAUCAAUCAGG